rnacentral:piRNA from 1 species
UUGACAUUUACCCUGUUAAUAGG